rnacentral:rRNA from 1 species
GAAUAUUGCACAAUGGGGGAAACCCUGAUGCAGCGACGCCGCGUGAGCGAAGAAGUAUUUCGGGAUGUAAAGCUCUAUCAGCAGGGAAGAAAAAUGACUGUACCUGAGUAAGAAGAAUCGGCUAAAUACGUGCCAGCAGCCGCGGUAAUACGUAUGGUGCAAGCGUUAUCCGGAGUUACUGGGUGUAAAGGGAGCGCAGGCGGUGCGGCGAGUCUGAUGUGAAAGCCCGGGGCUCAACCCCGGGACUGCAUUGGAAACUACCGAACUAGAGUGUCGGAGAGGUAAGUGGAAUUCCUAGUGUAGCGGUGAAAUGCGUAGAUAUUAGGAGGAACACCAGUGGCGAAGGCGGCUUACUGGACGAUAACUGACGCUGAGGCUCGAAAGCGUGGGGAGCAAAC